AGAAGUGGAAAAGAUAUUUCUUAAAAAAAUGGGAAAAGAAAAGAAUGAUAUUAUAAGAAAGACAAAAAAUAUCUAGUACCAUAAAAAAGGAAUAAAUAGGUAUGAUGAUAGAAGGAUAACUAGGCACCUAACUCCAAAGAUUUUGACCUACUUUCCUAAAAAUAUCCUACCCAAACAUAAGCAAAGUUACAACCUGAAAAGACC
rnacentral:lncRNA from 1 species